rnacentral:rRNA from 1 species
UAAGGAAUAUUGGGCAAUGGACGCAAGUCUGACCCAGCCAUGCCGCGUGGAGGAUGAAGGUCCUCUGGAUUGUAAACUUCUUUUAUCUGAGAAGAAACCCAAGAUUUCUAUUUUGGUUGACGGUACCAGAUGAAUAAGCACCGGCUAACUCCGUGCCAGCAGCCGCGGUAAUACGGAGGGUGCAAGCGUUAUCCGGAUUCACUGGGUUUAAAGGGUGCGUAGGUGGGUUGCCAAGUCCGUGGUGAAAUCUCCGAGCUUAACUCGGAAACUGCCGUGGAUACUGGUAAUCUUGAAUAUCGUGGAGGUAAGCGGAAUAUGUCAUGUAGCGGUGAAAUGCUUAGAUAUGACAUAGAACACCGAUAGCGAAGGCAGCUUGCUACACGAUUAUUGACACUGAGGCACGAAAGCGUGGGGAGCAAACAGG